UAUGAGAUAUAUACCGUUUUUCUUCGCUUUCUUUUUUAGCGUCCCCUGAUUGGGAGGCAAUUCGUCCGUGGCUCAGUAAUGAGUAGAGAGAAAGCGAAGACGAACAUUAAAGCCUCCCAACGGGGGGCUUUUUUAUU
rfam:Pragia fontium strain 24613, complete genome.